rnacentral:lncRNA from 1 species
UUGCCUGCUUCGUGUAUCAUUGUUCUGUAUUGGCCGAGAAGUGUAGUGCUCAAAGUGAGUAUCUGGAGGCAACUUUUUAUUCAAUUAGUUGGCUUUAUGUUGUCGGUUCAUCUGUGCUAAGAGUAUGGAUAUCGGGAUUUGUUUUUCUUUUAGAUUAUGUACAAACCAUUCCUAGUAUUUAAGGGUCUCCUCUUUGGAGUUGUGAAUGUUUGCAGUUUAUCUGUAUUAAGUUCAUUCCGAAGCAUGACAAAAUCAUCUGAGCUAUGAGUAUGGACAUCAGGGUUUGUUGUUCUUUUAGAUCAUGUAAAAACCAUUCCUAGUAUUUAAGAAUCUCCUCUCCUCUUUGCAGUUGUG